UAACGAGAGUUUGAUCCUGGCUCAGAACGAACGCUGGCGGCGCGCUUAACACAUGCAAGUCGAACGAGAAGGCGUAGCAAUACGCUUGUACAGUGGCGAACGGGUGAGUAAUACGUGGG
rnacentral:rRNA from 1 species